rnacentral:rRNA from 1 species
AUUGAACGCUGGCGGCAGGCCUAACACAUGCAAGUCGAGCGGAUGAAGGGAGCUCGCUCCUGGAUUCAGCGGCGGACGGGUGAGUAAUGCCUAGGAAUCUGCCUGGUAGUGGGGGAUAACGUCCGGAAACGGGCGCUAAUACCGCAUACGUCCUGAGGGAGAAAGUGGGGGAUCUUCGGACCUCACGCUAUCAGAUGAGCCUAGGUCGGAUUAGCUAGUUGGUGGGGUAAAGGCCUACCAAGGCGACGAUCCGUAACUGGUCUGAGAGGAUGAUCAGUCACACUGGAACUGAGACACGGUCCAGACUCCUACGGGAGGCAGCAGUGGGGAAUAUUGGACAAUGGGCGAAAGCCUGAUCCAGCCAUGCCGCGUGUGUGAAGAAGGUCUUCGGAUUGUGAAGCACUUUAAGUUGGGAGGAAGGGCAGUAAGUUAAUACCUUGCUGUUUUGACGUUACCAACAGAAUAAGCACCGGCUAACUUCGUG